rnacentral:rRNA from 1 species
GACGAACGCUGGCGGCGUGCCUAAUACAUGCAAGUAGAACGCACAGUUUAUACCGUAGCUUGCUACACCAUACACUGUGAGUUGCGAACGGGUGAGUAACGCGUAGGUAACCUGCCUGGUAGCGGGGGAUAACUAUUGGAAACGAUAGCUAAUACCGCAUAAUAUUGAUUAUUGCAUGAUAAUUGAUUGAAAGAUGCUAUUGCAUCACUACCAGAUGGACCUGCGUUGUAUUAGCUAGUAGGUGAGGUAACGGCUCACCUAGGCGACGAUACAUAGCCGACCUGAGAGGGUGAUCGGCCACACUGGGACUGAGACACGGCCCAGACUCCUACGGGAGGCAGCAGUAGGGAAUCUUCGGCAAGGGACGAAAGUCUGACCGAGCAACGCCGCGUGAGUGAAGAAGGUUGUCGGAUCGUAAAGCUCUGUUGUAAGAGAAGAACGGGUGUGAGAGUGGAAAGUUCACACUGUGACGGUAUCUGACCAGAAAGGGACGGCUAACUACGUG